UUGGGAUAGCUCAAUCGGUAGAAUGCGGGACUCUGAAUUUCUGGGUUGCGGGUUCGAGUCCCACAUUGGGCGAAA